rnacentral:rRNA from 2 species
UAGGGAAUAUUAGUAAUGGAGGAAACUCUGAACUAGCGAUACCGCGUGCGCGAAGAAGGCCUUCGGGUUGUAAAGCGCUUUUUGAGAGGAUGAGGAAGGACGGUACUCUCAGAAUAAGUCUCGGCUAACUACGUGCCAGCAGCCGCGGUAACACGUAGGAGGCGAACGUUAUCCGGAUUUACUGGGCGUAAAGCGCGUGUAGGUGGUUUGGUAAGUAGGGCGUGAAAGCUCCUGGCUCAACUGGGAGAGGCCGUUCUAAACUGCCGAACUAGAGGAUGGUAGAGGGAGGUGGAAUUCCGGGUGUAGCGGUGGAAUGCGCAGAUAUCCGGAGGAACACCAGUGGCGAAAGCGGCCUCCUGGACCAUUCCUGACACUCAGACGCGAAAGCUAGGGUAGCAAACGGG